CUCAGCACCAUUGUGGCAACACUGAAGCCUCCAAGAUGGCCUCAGCCAGGCUAACUUCAGAGUUGACAUAAAGACUGCCUUUUCCACAGAAUAGCCUCCACCCCAGUGGUGGUAUUCAUUUGGUUUUAUCCGAUUUGGGCGAACCGGUAGUGGUGCCUGUGGGAGGCUCUGCCCACCCAUCCGGAUGUCAUCAUGUCCCGUUUUUGAUGCUCUGCGCACACUCUCACUUUUGCAAACCGAUAGUGAAGUACACCAUGCAGAGACUGACAUUCGGACAAAGCUCUUGGGGAUCAUGCUGUAUAUGCCAGCUGGCACAUCUCACCCACAUUGUUUUCC